rnacentral:rRNA from 1 species
AUUGAACGCUGGCGGCAGGCCUAACACAUGCAAGUCGAGCGCACAGCGAACGGGUGAGUAAUGUCUGGGAAACUGCCUGAUGGAAGGGGAUAACUACUUGAAACGUUAGAUAAUACCGCAUACCAUCAGAUUUGCCCAGAUGGGAUUAGCUAGUAGGUGGGGUAACGGCUCACCUAGGCGACGAUGCCUAGCUGGACUGAGAGGAUGACCAGCCACAUUGGAACUGAGACACGGCCCAGACUCCUACGGGAGGCAGCAGUGGGGAAUAUUGCACAAUGGGCGCAAGCCUGAUGCAGCCAUGCCGCGUGUGUGAAGAAGGUCUUCGGGUUGUAAAGCACUUUCAGCGGGGAGGCGUUACCCGAAGAAGAAGCACCGGCUAACUCCGUGCCAGCAGCCGCGGUAAUUC